rnacentral:rRNA from 1 species
GACGAACGCUGGCGGCGUGCUUAACACAUGCAAGUCGAACGGACAGGCCCGGCUCUUGUGGGGUGCUCGAUUGGCGAACAGGUGAGUAACACGUGAGUAACCUGCCCUUGACUUAGGGAUAACAUCAGGGAACUGGGGCUAAUAUCGGGUAGAAGCUCCUGCAGCAUGGUGGGGGUUGGAAAGAUACGGCGGUUGGGGAUGGACUCGCGGCUUAUCAGCUUGUUUGUGGGGUAGUGGCUUACAAAGGCUUCGACGGGUAGGCGGCCUUGGAGGGUGACCGGCCACAAUGGGACUGCGAUACGGCGCAGACUCCUAUGGGAGGCAGCAGUGGAGAAUAUGGCAGAAUGGGCGGAAGCCUGAUGCAGCAACGCCGCGUGCGGGAUGACGGGCUUCGGGUUGUAAACCGCUUUCGCCUGUGACGUAGCGGGAGUGACGGUAAUGGGUCAAGAAGCAACGGCUAACUACGUG